GAAGUGCGGCGUUUUAGUCCUGUCUCCGCUGCUAACUGGCUGUAGUCUUGCCGGAGGCUGACUUCACCGUGAGAAGCCGAUUUGUAACCCUCUGUUUCGUCGCCGCUUCCCUUCGCGACGGAGAGGAGAAGACGAGAGAAGAGAAAGACAGAGAAGACGCCGAUUGCACGGAAGAUACGCUUCUCUUCACAAAAGCAGUCAUCGG
rnacentral:lncRNA from 1 species